UACGUAGGGUGCGAGCGUUGUCCGGAAUUACUGGGCGUAAAGAGCUCGUAGGUGGUUUGUCGCGUUGUUCGUGAAAACUCACAGCUCAACUGGGGGCGUGCGGGCGAUACGGGCAGACUGGAGUACUGCAGGGGAGACUGGAAUUCCUGGUGUAGCGGUGGAAUGCGCAGAUAUCAGGAGGAACACCGGUGGCGAAGGCGGGUCUCUGGGCAACAACUGACGCUGAGACGCGAAAGCGUGGGGAGCAAACAGG
rnacentral:rRNA from 1 species